CUGAUUCCUUGAAGCAUCUUCUGGUUACGAUUGAGAUCGAGGAGGUCGAGAGGUUUAAAGAUCAAGCUAUGUGUAUUACUUUCUGGAGAAAAGGACAAAUUCUAGUUCCUGAGGCUUAAAGAAGAUGCUGUAGAGAGGGAGAGAGCAAAAUGGAGGCCUUUAUCAGGUUCUGGUGACUGUAAAUGGUGAAGGGCGCUUUGAAUGUUGAGGAAAGUCAAAGCAAUUUGAGUUGGU
rnacentral:misc_RNA from 1 species